GACUCUCGGCAAUGGAUAUCUCGCCUCUCGCAUCGAUGAAGAAUGUAGCAAAAUGCGAUACUUGGUGUGAAUUGCAGAAUCCCGUGAACCAUCGAGUCUUUGAACGCAAGUUGUGCCCCAAGCCUUCUGGCCGAGGGCAUGUCUGCCUGGGUGUCA
rnacentral:rRNA from 1 species